AUACGUAGGGGGCGAGCGUUAUCCGGAUUUAUUGGGCGUAAAGCGUGUGUAGGCGGUCUAUUAAGUCUAAGAUCAAAGUCCGAGGCUCAACCUCGGAACUGCCUUUGAUACUGGGUGUCUAGAGUGUGGAAGAGGUAAGUGGAAUUCCGAGUGUAGAGGUGAAAUUCGUAGAUAUUCGGAGGAACACCAGUGGCGAAGGCGGCUUACUGGUCCAUUACUGACGCUGAGGUGCGAAAGCGUGGGGAGC
rnacentral:rRNA from 1 species